UACGUAGGGUGCAAGCGUUGUCCGGAAUUAUUGGGCGUAAAGAGCUCGUAGGCGGUUUGUCACGUCGGAUGUGAAAACUCGGGGGCUCAACCCCGAGCCUGCAUUCGAUACGGGCAGACUUGAGUUCGGCAGGGGAGACUGGAAUUCCUGGUGUAGCGGUGAAAUGCGCAGAUAUCAGGAAGAACACCCGUGGCGAAGGCGGGUCUCUGGGCCGAUACUGACGCUGAGGAGCGAAAGCGUGGGGAGCGAACAGG
rnacentral:rRNA from 1 species